GACCGGCCAGACCUUAUCCUCCUCCUGCCGGAUAAACAACCAAAGAACCACACAGCUUUAACAAACCUCCACCUCAAACCACCCAGCUGUGGAUCAAUGUUCUACCUCCAUCCUGACAACUAUGCACCUCCUCCAGCAUCUGCAGCAGCUUUUACCAUCCAACUGCUGCAAACCAAAAUACCAUGUCAACCUCCACCUGCUACCUCUGCCAGUCAUCUGCACCACCACCACCACCACCACCUUCACCUGCAGAUUCUGGCAGAGAGAACAAGCCUCAAACUCCAGCCUCUGUAACACAUCGGCAGCCGUCCUGCUCCGGACUCCAACCACAAGAACCCAAAAGAAGCCCGAGCAUGCACCUAAAACUUCUGCAAGCAGAGUCUUCCAGACAACUGUAGACAAAGCCUUAACAUAAGCAUCUGCCAGACAACAGCCAGAUCUGUCUCCAGCCAGCUACCUCCACCCCUACUAAUGCUUCCUAACUGCCUCCACCUUCAUCCAGCAACAUGCACCUCUGUCUCCAUCUGCAGACUGUUCCUUCUUUAAUAAUCCCACAGUUGAUUUAUGUGAUUUCUUAAUGGACGUCGUUGAUGUACAGUGUUUUAAACUCACAGAUUUUCUUUUUGCUUUUUUUCAGGUGGACUUCAGAGACAUCCAGACGUACAGGAGCUGAUGAAGGCCCAUUCCGACAGUUCCUUCUGCUACAAGAUCUGUGCACCAGAGAUGUCUUUAUCUCCUCCUCAUCCUCCAUCAUCACCAGCGACUCCUGCUCCUCUCCUGAACUGAAAGCUCCUCUUCACAUGGACCCUUCAACUCCACAAAGCUUCCUCUGAUCUCCUCCACAAGUCAGCUCCAAAACAGACAAAACAUUGGACAAUUGUUUGUUUUGCCCGUUCACCUUGCAGACCACAGCUACUGUCACAGAGGGAGAAUCUCUGCACGCCGUGCAGACAGUGACAGGAAGCCCAGAGCAUCCUGCAGAGACCAACAGCAGCACUCUGCUCAUCCUCCCAGACCGGCCCAGAAGAGGAAGAGGACCUCUGCUGCUCGUCCUUCCACAUCUUCUGCCGAACAUCUGGUCCCGAGGCCUCGGUCCCCCAUCCCACCUGCCG